CCUACGGGUGGCAGCAGUGGGGAAUAUUGGGCAAUGGGAGGAAUCCUGACCCAGCGACGCCGCGUGAACGAAGACGGCCUUCGGGUUGUAAAGUUCUUUUAUGUGGGAAGAAGGAAGUGACGGUACCACAUGAAUAAGCCCCGGCUAACUACGUGCCAGCAGCCGCGGUAAUACGUAGGGGGCGAGCGUUGUCCGGAAUUACUGGGCGUAAAGGGCACGCAGGCUGUGCUUCAAGUCAGCUGUAAAAGGAUGCGGCUUAACCGUGUUAUGCAGUUGGGACUGAGGUGCUGGAGUACCGGAGAGGCAAGUGGAAUUCCCAGUGUAGCGGUGAAAUGCGUAGAUAUUGGGAAGAACAUCGGUGGCGAAGGCGACUUGCUGGACGGUAACUGACGCUGAGGUGCGAAAGCCAGGGUAGCGAACGGGAUUAGAUACCCUUGUAGUC
rnacentral:rRNA from 1 species